UGGUCCUGACCUUGAAGUCAAUUAUUACUUAACUUAUACAUGCAAGUCUCCCCGCCCCGGUGAAAACGCCCUCAAUCCCUGUCAGGGAUAAGGAGCCGGUAUCAGGCACAAUUAUUAGCCCAAGACACCUAGCUACGCCACACCCACAACGGUCUACAGCAGUGAUUAAUAUUGAACAUGAGCGCCAGCUUGAUUCAGUUAAAGUAAAAAGGGCCGGCAAAUAUGGUGCCAGCCGCCGCGGUUACACCACAUGGCCCAAGUCGACUUCAUCACGGCGUAAAGCGUGAUUAAAGUGCUUUCCCCCACUGUAGUCAAACUGUUAAUAAGCUGUUUAAUGCUUUUAACCAGGAAGCCCAAAAACGAAAGUUACUACACACAAAACUACUUGAACUCACUAUAGUUAGGACCCAAACUAGGAUUAGAUACCCUACUAUGCCUAACCGCAAAUUCUUUACUUACAUAAUAACCGCCAGAGAACUACGAGCAAAGCUUAAAACUCAAAGGAUUUGACGGCACCCCAUAUCCCCCUAGAGGAGCCUGUCCUUUAAAUCGAUAAUCCCCGUUUAACCUCACCAUUUCUAGCUAUCAGUCUGUAUACCUCCGUCGCCAGCUUACCGCAUGAGCGCUAUAAAGUAGGCUUAACGAACAUAAAAACUUCAAUACGUCAGGUCAAGGUGCAACUUAUGAAAUGGCAAGAGAUGGGCUACACUCUCUAACUUAGAAUAAACGAAAACUGAUUAUGAAACCCAGCUAGAAGGUGGAUUUAGAAGUAAAAAGACAUCAAAAAGGUCUUUUUAACACGGCACUGGGGUGUGUACACACCGCCCGUCACCCUCUUCAUAACUAACUUAAAGUAUUUAACACACUCAAACACAACAGAAGAGGCAAGUCGUAACAUGGUAAGUAUACCGGAAGGUGUGCUUGGAAA
rnacentral:ncRNA from 1 species